rnacentral:rRNA from 1 species
CGGGUGAGUAACGCGUGGGCAACCUGCCCUCCAGUUGGGGACAACAUUCCGAAAGGGAUGCUAAUACCGAAUGCGGAAGAUGGGCCCGCGUCUGAUUAGCUAGUUGGUGGGGUAACGGCUCACCAAGGCGAUGAUCAGUAGCCGGUCUGAGAGGAUGAACGGCCACAUUGGGACUGAGACACGGCCCAAACUCCUACGGGAGGCAGCAGUGGGGAAUCUUCCGCAAUGGACGAAAGUCUGACGGAGCAACGCCGCGUGAGUGAUGAAGGUCUUCGGAUUGUAAAACUCUGUUGUUAGGGACGCGGUACCUAACGAGGAAGCCACGGCUAACUACGUGCCAGCAGCCGCGGUAAUACGUAGGUGGCAAGCGUUGUCCGGAAUUAUUGGGCGUAAAGAGCAUGUAGGCGGGCUUUUAAGUCUGACGUGAAAAUGCGGGGCUUAACCCCGUAUGGCGUUGGAUACUGGAAGUCUUGAGUGCAGGAGAGGAAAGGGGAAUUCCCAG